rnacentral:rRNA from 1 species
GAUGAACGCUAGCGAUAGGCUUAACACAUGCAAGUCGAGGGGCAGCAUGGUCUUAGCUUGCUAAGACUGAUGGCGACCGGCGCACGGGUGCGUAACGCGUAUCCAACUUGCCUAACAGAGGGGGAUAACCCGUCGAAAGACGGACUAAUACCGCGUACACUUGGGAUAGGGCAUCCUGACCCAAGGAAAUGAUAUUCGCUGUGAGAUAGGCAUGCGUCCCAUUAGCUAGUUGUGGAGGUAACGGCUCACCAAGCCGACGAGGCGUAGGGGACCCGAGAGGGUGAUCGGCCACACUGGAACUGAGCCACGGCCCAGACUCCUACGGUAGGCAGCAGUAGGGAAUCUUCUGCAAGGGGCGAAAGCCUGACGGGGCAAAGCCGCGUGAGUGAUGAAGUUCUUCUGAUCGUAAAUCUCUGUUACUAGGGAAGAACAAUUGUGUAAGUAACUAGGCACGUCUUGACGGUACCUAAUCAGAAAGCCACGGCUAACUACGUG